AGGAGAGUUUGAUCCUGGCUCAGGAUGAACGCUGGCGGCGUGCCUAACACAUGCAAGUCGAACGGAGAUUUAACGCUGAUGAGGCUUCGGCGGAAUCUUGUUAAAUCUUAGUGGCGGACGGGUGAGUAACGCGUGGGCAACCUGCCUCAUACUGGGGGAUAACAGUUGGAAACGGCUGUUAAUACCGCAUAAGCGCACAGCAUCGCAUGAUGCAGUGUGAAAAACUCCGGUGGUAUGAGAUGGGCCCGCGUCAGAUUAGCUAGUUGGUAAGGUAACGGCUUACCAAGGCAACGAUCUGUAGCCGGACUGAGAGGUCGGACGGCCACAUUGGGACUGAGACACGGCCCAAACUCCUACGGGAGGCAGCAGUGGGGGAUAUUGCACAAUGGAGGAAACUCUGAUGCAGCGACGCCGCGUGAGUGAAGAAGUAUUUCGGUAUGUAAAGCUCUAUCAGCAGGGAAGAAAGGCUCGUAAGAGAGAUGACGGUACCUGACUAAGAAGCCCCGGCUAACUACGUGCCAGCAGCCGCGGUAAUACGUAGGGGGCAAGCGUUAUCCGGAUUUACUGGGUGUAAAGGGAGCGCAGACGGUGAUGCAAGUCUGAAGUGAAACCCCACGGCUCAACCGUGGGCUUGCUUUGGAAACUGUAUGACUAGAGUACUGGAGAGGUAAGCGGAAUUCCUAGUGUAGCGGUGAAAUGCGUAGAUAUUAGGAGGAACAUCGGUGGCGAAGGCGGCUUACUGGACAGCAACUGACGUUGAGGCUCGAAGGCGUGGGGAGCAAACAGGAUUAGAUACCCUGGUAGUCCCCU
rnacentral:rRNA from 1 species